GAUACUGGGAUUCAGGGUGUGACAAGACUAAACCUCGACAAACAAAAAUCUAGUAACCGAUCUUGCAUACUUGCAGAUAAUAACCAUUAUAAUGUUAUGCAGUCUAAGGUAAUGGUUUCACAUCAAGCAGGUUCUCUGAUUUUGAAUAAAUUAUUUAAAGCCCAAAUAAUAUAUCAGCAAUUGAAGUGUAGAUGUGGAAAAAAAUUUAUAUAACAUGAUAAUGAUCAUCAUGCAUGUGUU
rnacentral:lncRNA from 1 species